rnacentral:rRNA from 1 species
UACGUACCGUCCAAACGUUAUUCGGAAUCACUGGGCUUAAAGAGUUCGUAGGCGGCUCAGCAAGUUGGGUGUGAAAUCCCUCGGCUCAACCGAGGAAUUGCGCUCAAAACUACUGAGCUAGAGGGAGAUAGAGGUGAGCGGAACUGAUGGUGGAGCGGUGAAAUGCGUUGAUAUCAUCAGGAACACCGGAGGCGAAGGCGGCUCACUGGGUCUUUCCUGACGCUGAGGAACGAAAGCUAGGGGAGCGAACGGG